ACCAGCUGGACCGCUAUAGUUAAUUAUAAUUAGUUGCUUAGGCUUAGCAAAUAACAUUCUUUUCAAAGGCUUUUAUGGCGGCGGUAUAAAUAAAUGAGACGAGCAAAAUAGUGUUCAACAGUUUUGAAGUGAGCUAACUGAGUUACAACAAGAGCUAGAAGCAGGUAGAUUCAAGUGACAUGUAAGUAUCAGUGAUUCAGUGUUAUAUUAUUGUGGUUAACAUAAAAUUCAAAGCAAACUUCCUGACAGGUUGUUUAUAAAUUUGGAAAUAUUUCUUCAGAAAUAUUGUUUGAAUCAGUACGAGUUUUCUUCUCUAAAGUUUUGAGAUAAACAGACGCGCAGAAAUAUAUAAACUAAAACAGCAGGUCAAAUUUUAACCAAGGUUUAAUGCAUAAUGUGUAUGUGUAUUUUGUGACUGAAAUAGAAACAUUUCGGCGUCAGGCUCUGACGCGUGGCUGACUACUAUAUGGAGUAUGGACUUAUACACUAUUCCACGGUGAAAGUGAACAUAAGGAACAUUUAGUAACAUUUUGCCAACUUUUCAACAAUCCGGAUUGAUUUUCAUACCGGAUUGAUUUUCACUCCGAAAUAAAAAACACGGGUGUUCAAACUAUAUAUGCAUGUCGCUUCGCUCUGUUGCCAGCUCGUGUCUCGUUGUCGCCAUGGAAACAAGUUAUAUUUUUGGCCAGUAUACUAAAAUUUAUUAAAAACAAGAAGUAACACACGUUUUCUUUGUAAAGUAUAACUUUGUUUAAAAAGCUUGACUACCAGACGUUGCUUCGUUUCGCUCUAAUGCAAAAUUAACGAGUAUUUCUUUAAAUUUUGCCCUAUCGAAAGCGAAAAGUCAAUGUUAUUAUCGUUUUCUUUAUUUGUCUUCGCCAGAAAUAGUGAAGGCGACAAUGGUAAAACGUGCACGCCAAAACCGAUUUUGUACCGACGCGUACCAGAUUGGCCUGCUUAUACUGCUUCGGCACAUACCGGAUUACUUUUCAUAUCACCUCCAAAGCGGAGUGAUUUUUACGCCGCGUCGCGUACCGGAUUACUGUGGCGUACUGUGCAGUCAGGAAGUGUUUUUGUCAAAUAGAAAGAUCACAAAUCUGCUUGGUUUUUGGUUCACAAGUGCAUUUUGCAAACAUUCGCCAGAAAUUUUGCCCAGAUUUCCAUAUAGCUAAUUGCAAAAAUUUUCAUGCAGGAAAUUAAUUCCUUCCAAAGCCAAAACUUUACAGACUGCAUGAGUUCGCUCAUUACACGCUUCUCGAGUUACAGUAUAAUAAUGGAAGGUUUAUUUUACUUUUCUAUUAUAUUAAACUUUCAUAUUCAUUAAGUAUUUGCUGAAUAAGAUUAGUACGUUACAGUAGCCUGCGCUACAGACCUUAACAUUGCUAUUUUGAAAAUUCUUUUUGAAAAUCUCAGAUAAAAAAUACCUGGCAUUUCACAAUAUAUUGAAGUUCCUCAUAACCAAAAAGAAGGAAAAACAACAGUAGAAAUCAUAAAAAGCUUCGAUCGCCUCUUAGCUUCGAUCUCUGGCUAAAUCCUAACCUGAGUAUCAGGCUCUAUUUUACAAAUAGAGCCUGACACAAAACUUAACCUGAUCGCUUUCCGCCCACAGCAAAGUUUAUAUUUAGUAUCCAAUCAAAAUGUCGCAGGAGAAAUUUAAAUUUCAGCCCACUAAACAGCAUAACAGCCCACUAAACGGCUGAAUUUAAAUUAAAACUGCAAUGAACUUAUAAAAUUAACAAAAAUAAUCACAAAUUAGCGAAAUAUAUUGCAAAUGUAGCUUAAUAUUAAAUCGCCACCCAAUUGCUCUCUCCUCCGCAGAGGUUUCAGUGACUACAAUGAGCUUUACAUGGCGCUUGCCGUAUUUAUCAACAAACUGACGUAUAUUUAUAAAGUAUAUAUAUAUAUAUAUAUAUAUAUAUAUAUAUAUAUAUAUAUAUAUAUAUAUAUAUAUAUAUAUAUAUAUAUAUAUAUAUAUAUAUAUAUAUAUAUAUAUUAAAGCCCGUUUCAUACGUCGAAUUUUGGUCGCGUCGAAUGCAAUUAAGACAAUAGAUAAUGAGAUGAUAAACCUCAUUAAGCUUCAUUAUCUAUUGUUUGAAUUGCAUUCGACGCGACCGAAAUUCGACGUAUAAAACAGGCUUAAGUAUACUUUAUAACUAUACGUCAGUUAGUCGAUAGUGCAAUGUGAUGGCGAUUUAAUAUAAGCUACAUUUGCAAUAUAUUUCGCUAAUUUGCGAUUAUUUUCUAAUUUUACUGCAGUUUUAAUUUAAAUUCAGCCGUUUAGUUGGCCGGCUAUAAUUGUAGUUGUGAUCGUUAUACUAUCAACAACAAUAGUAUAAUCUAAUUAGCACCAGCCAAUCAAAUGACAGAUUUAAAAAAUCGUUUGUCUAAUUGGCCAAUCAGCGCUCAGUCCAGAUUCUGGACUGAAUAACCAGGCAAAAUGCCGCUUUUGUGUCAGGCCGUACUUUUCUCCCCUUCGCCCGCGAUCAGGCGUGUCUGUGCCCUAAAAAGUACGGCCUGAUACUCAGGUUAGCUAAAUCCUAAGCUUACCGCGCUAGGAACUAGGAAGUUCACUGUACUUCCGCCGGAAGUCUCCCAGUGGAAUAUCGACUAGGAUCCAGUUCACUUCGCGGUCAAUUCCAAGAUAGCGGCCAACUGAUGUGAAAUUUCAGGAUUGAGGGUAAUAUCUUCAUGUUUCGCGCAUGAAUAUAUUUCUCUUUGAUCUUGACUCAAUCCCAGCUCCUUCUCUAACCCUAUAUUCUGCGCGAAACAUGCAUGAGGGUAUAUAGAGGAUAUUCCAUGGCGGCGCGAAGAUAUAACUUUUAUCUUCGAGUGGUGAAAACAAAAUUUUACGAACGAGCGCAGCGAAUGAGUAAAAUAUUGUUUUUAACACGAGAAGAUAAAAGUCAUCUUCAAGCCACCGCGUGUAAUGUUCUGUUUAUUAUAUAGUCCCAAGCAAAAAAUUAUGAAAUUUCACGCUCAAAAGCAAAUUGGAAAAAGUCAUGUGAUCGAUAUCUUCACUAGUGAAGAUAUAGAAAAUAUCUCACUGUGUAUUUUUCAGUAUCUCACUCUACUAUAUAAUAAAUUUAAGAAUUGGAAUUGGAACAUGGUGUCCUGGACGCGGAUCAAUGCUACGUAUUAAUGAGGUGUGCGACUGUCUACGGAGAUUGCGGCGCGCCACUGAUGAGUUUAUCAUCAUUCUUGAUACAAAAUAUAGUGCAGGGUUUAUUUUAACGUGCAGUUCUACACAAAAUGUGCAGUUCUAAACCCAUUUGUGCAGUUCUUAAAACACCAAUGUGCAGUCACCAAACUAACAAAAUAGCCACUGUGACCAAAUUUUCAUUUCUGUUUUUUUUCCAUGAUUGUGAAGAAUGCGUAUAAUGAAGCUGUCACGCAAAAUUUUAGCGUGAUAUCUUAUAUUUUGCCUGAGUUAUACGACGAUGAAGUUUGAAUUUUGGCAGCCGCCAUUAAAAUCCGCCAUAUUGGAAAAUUGGGGGGGGAGAACUUAAUAUUCGUUGCUGCCUCAAAUGCAAAUUUAAGGUUGUUAUAUAUUGAAUAUCCAUGAUUCCCACAUUCCCAGAACUAGGAGCCUCUAGAUUCAAAUUGUUUUGGGGAACACCCCUAGCUCCCGCACACAAAAUCGAGUUUGUCUGGCCUUUCUCCAAUUCUCCCACCCAACCACACCAUUAUUCUGUCACCUAUAUGCAGGUAAAAAAGCCUUCGACCCCCCCUGUCAAACACCCGUUGCCUUUGUAACAUCCCUAAAUGUGCAGUUCUAAAUUUUUCUUAAAAUAAACCCUGAUAUAGUAUAUAGUUGUAAUGAAAGUUUAAUUCAUUUUUUUCAUCUAGAAUGUCGAAAGCCUUUCAAGUUAUUUUUAUAAUGGUUGUGGUUUUAUAUGUGAACGCCUACGCCAUGGAAUUGAGGAAGAGAGAAAGUUGUUACAAUAAAUGCAUGGGAAUUUGGCGAGGUUGCUUUCGAACGUGUGGCAAGCAUAACUGUAUGCUGUGUUUUCAGGGCAAAACCUCGUGUUUUAACACAUGUGCACGAAAAAGAAAUGAAAUUGUAUUUGAAGAUCAUUCAUUUGAUCUUGACAAAGAGGAUGCUGGUAUUACUUAUUAAUUAAGUUUACUCAUUUUCUUGUAAAUUAGACAAGAACAAGUAAUGUUUGGAACAAAAAGACAAUAUAAUUGUAUUUCCUAAAUAAUUAAUUAAUGUAUUGCUCUAGAA
rnacentral:lncRNA from 1 species